CAAUAAGAGGUCCAGCCUGCCCAGUGAUAAAAUUCAACGGCCACGGUAUCCUAACCGUGCAAAGGUAGCAUAAUCACUUGUUCUUUAAAUAAGGACUAGUAUCAAAGGCAUCACGAGAGUCACACUGUCUCCUUUCCCUAAUCAGUGAAACUGAUCUCCCCGUGAAGAAGCGGGGAUAAAAUUAUAAGACGAGAAGACCCCAUGGAGCUUUAAACCCCCAGCAACCUACCCCCACAUCCAUCAUAAACACUAGGCCUUGCUUACCGGUUUUAGGUUGGGGCGACCACGGAGUAAAAACCAACCUCCAAGACGAAAAGAACUAAAUCUUUAUCCUAGAGGCACCCCUCUAAGAAUUAGUAUACUAACGUAUAUGACCCGACAAACGAUCAACGAACCAAGUUACCCUGGGGAUAACAGCGCAAUCUACUUCAAGAGCCCAUAUCGACAAGUAGGCUUACGACCUCGAUGUUGGAUCAGGAUAUCCCAGUGGUGCAGUCACUACUAACGGCUCGUUUGUUCAACGAUUAAAAUCCUACGUGAU
rnacentral:rRNA from 1 species